UACGAAGGGGGCUAGCGUUGCUCGGAAUCACUGGGCGUAAAGCGCACGUAGGCGGAUCUUUAAGUCAGGGGUGAAAUCCUGGAGCUCAACUCCAGAACUGCCUUUGAUACUGGGGAUCUCGAGUCCGGGGAGAGGUGAGUGGAACUCCGAGUGUAGAGGUGAAAUUCGUAGAUAUUCGGAAGAACACCAGUGGCGAAGGCGGCUCACUGGCCCGGUACUGACGCUGAGGU
rnacentral:rRNA from 1 species